AUGCUCGCCACGGCGGCCGGACACAAAAAAAAAGGGGGGGCUGAAAGCGCCCGGACCGUGCUCCGGGACCCCGCGAGCAACAAAGGCCGCGGCGGGGCGGCGAGGGGGGAGCGGCGGGCACAGCGCACCGCCGGGCGCCCCCCGGCCGAGCCCGGCUGCGUUGGUCGCUGCCCCCCGAGCCCUGCCGCCGAGCCGGGCCGCUCCCGAGGCGGUGCUGAGCCCCGAGCCCUCGGCUCCUUACCUGCUGGGCGGCUCCGGCAAUGCGGCUGCGGGCGGGGAGCAGCGGCGGGGCCGCUCCCCGGGGCGCUGGGGAGGGAGAGCCGCUCCCGCCGCCCCGGCCCGGCCACGGCGGGGAACUUCGGCGGGGCGGCGGCGCCCGGAGCUCCUGCUGCCGCCCGCGGGGUGCGGGACGGAGGGAGGCGGGCAGGGAGGCAGGGAAGGAGGCAGGGAAGGAGGGAAGGAGGCAGGCGGCAGGGCGGGGACGGGCGGCCCGCGGGGGCGAGCCGGAGGCGGCGGGGCCAGGGCCGGGGCCGGGGCCGGGGCGGCGCGGUGCGGGGAGUCACGGCGCAGGAAUGCCAGGAAUGUGGGGCGGCCGCUGAGACGUCGGGGACACGACUUGGGAUUUCUUUUUUUUUAAAAAAAAUACUCUCCCCCCCCCUCCCUUUAGGAAAGAGGAGGGCUGAAGCCCCCCCGGAGGAGGGAAGAGGAGGGAGGAAGAGGAGGGCGCACGCCGCUGCCAAUGGGGGCGGCUGCCCCGAGCAGCCCUCCCCGGGCGCGGACAGCGCUGAGGGUUUGGGGCCGGCCCGCGGCGCCUCCCCGCCCCUUUUCCGCCUCCCCGGGCCGGCAGGGACCGGCCGGGACGGCCUCUCGAAGCUCCUGUGCCCCCCCGGGCAGCUGGCUGCCCAUCUCCGGCAGCCUCGCCUUGGGCACGCGGCAGCUGCUCCCCGCCGAGCCCCCUUCGCCUGUGGCUCCCCGCAGGGCAGGGAGAGGGCUGCGGGAGAGGGGCCGCUGUGGGGUCAUCGUGCCGUGCUGGGGAGUGGGGGGGUAAAACACGGUGCUGCUUUGAAGCAGGAAGGGUGCCCGGUGCUUGGCAGACACGGGCAUGGCCUCCCGGAGUGGGCAUCGCCUCCCAAAGCGGGUAUGGCCUCCUGA
ensembl:lncRNA